rnacentral:rRNA from 1 species
GACGAACCGUGCGAACGUUGUUCGGAAUCACUGGGCUUAAAGGGCGCGUAGGCGGUUCUCCAAGUCAGGGGUGAAAUCCUGCGGCUUAACCGUAGAAGUGCCUUUGAUACUGGAGAUCUUGAGGGAGGUAGGGGUCCGUGGAACUUCUGGUGGAGCGGUGAAAUGCGUUGAUAUCAGAAGGAACGCCGGUGGCGGAAGCGACGGACUGGAUCUCUUCUGACGCUGAGGCGCGAAAGCUAGGGGAGCAAACGGG